UCCUUCUUUUUCCCUCUUUUUUCUUCCUUCCUUUUCUUCCAUUUUUCUUAUUUUUCCAACUAAGUCAGACGUGAAAUCCCUCAGCUUAACUGGGGAACUGCGUCUGAGACUGGAUGGCUUGAGUGCAGGAGAGGAACGCGGAAUUCCAGGUGUAGCGGUGAAAUGCGUAGAUACCUGGAGGAACACCGGUGGCGAAGGCGGCGUUCUGGACUGCUACUGACACUGAGGAACGAAAGCCAGGGGAGCAAACGGG
rnacentral:rRNA from 1 species